GAUGAACGCUGGCGGCGUGCUUAACACAUGCAAGUCGAACGGGAAACAUUUCAUUGAGGCUUCGGCGGAUCUGAUCUGUUUCUAGUGGCGGACGGGUGAGUAACGCGUGGGUAACCUGCCUUAUACUGGGGGAUAACAGCCAGAAAUGACUGCUAAUACCGCAUAAGCGCACAGAACCGCAUGGUUCGGUGUGAAAAACUCCGGUGGUAUAAGAUGGACCCGCGUUGGAUUAGCUAGUUGGCAGGGCAGCGGCCUACCAAGGCGACGAUCCAUAGCCGGCCUGAGAGGGUGAACGGCCACAUUGGGACUGAGACACGGCCCAGACUCCUACGGGAGGCAGCAGUGGGGAAUAUUGCACAAUGGGGGAAACCCUGAUGCAGCGACGCCGCGUGAAGGAAGAAGUAUCUCGGUAUGUAAACUUCUAUCAGCAGGGAAGAUAA
rnacentral:rRNA from 1 species